CUAGGGAUGCUCAGUGGUAAAGCACUUGCCUAGAAUGAGCAAGACCCUGACUGGGUUCAAUCCCCAGUACUGAAA
rnacentral:tRNA from 1 species